CGUGCUUAUGAAUAAUUAUUAACAUUGUUUCAUCAUAGAUAGUUCAACGGUCUAAAGACCAGCAGAUCCGAAGAGAAUUAUUGACUCCCAUGAUGAUGAUGAGGCGAACUAACGUGGAUAAAAGAUUGUUCUUUGGAAGUGUAAUGUGGGGCCGGCGACAUGAUGGCGGAGUUCAUGUGCCGCCAAGGCGGGUAAAGGCUCGGGUUGUGGACGGCGGCGUUGCCGGUGGCAUGAUUUGGUUGGGCCAGAGUAACGUGGUUAAGUGCCAUGGAUUUUAGUGCCUCGUGCUGCCUUGUUCCAAUCCGUAUCUACAAUGCAUUGCCGGGUUGAUGAUAUAUAUGACUCUACCAAAUGAGUUGCAUGUGACGACAACUCGAUAGAGAUUGAUUAUACUCUCCUUGCAUUUUGGUUUAUGUGGUACUUGAAAAUUUUAGGUAUCAGUCCUGUCAUCUCGAGAUCGAUCGGCACCGUUCUGAAAGAUAAAGGAAAACGAAGUAGAAUUUUACUGCAAACGGAAGUCAGCAUCAUUCGUAGCAGACGUAAUUUGAAUGAGAAAGCCCCCGGAGAUGCUCAUUCCGAAGCUCCUGCAAGAUUUAUAUAGCCAUUUGGUGACUGAACUUUGGAGACGAAUAAGAACCAGGAUGCAUGUGCCAUGCAAAACUCACCGCUACAAAAAAGAAAAGAAGAAAAAUGAGUGAAGGACAAACGAGAGAUCAAAAGCUACUCCGGAUACUCGUACCUUCGGAAGCAACGGAACAUGAGACACAGCUCGCCUCUUCUUCUGCUUGG
rnacentral:lncRNA from 1 species